rnacentral:misc_RNA from 1 species
GUGAACUUACAUUAAGUACGAGGUCAAAGGUAACUCAAGCAACUCCCAAAGCUUUUUUGAUGUCAUCCUCAAUUGCCAAUGGACUGGUGGUUGGACCGAAGCGGUUGAUGACAACCCCUUCCUUGUCUACCAAGAACUUGGUGAAAUUCCACUUUAUCCGGGAGCCUAAGAACCCAUUGCUAGUUGCUUUGAGGAACUUAU